rnacentral:rRNA from 1 species
AUGGACGGGCGGAGGCGCACGGGGAAGAAGACUGACGAGGUCCCAUACGGGCGGCUUCACGGAUCCAUCGGGGACGAACGGGUGACGGCGCGCACAACUGGACGACGGCAGGGCUCCGAUGAAGAGAUGAAGCAGGGAGGUCGCGGAGGUGAGGAUCCACGGCGGCUGCGAGCUUGCCGGCGGGGACGAGCGCAACUCCUCGGGGCUUUCCUGCGAGACGAGACAGAGCCGAGAGAGGGAUUUGAGAGAGAGAGAGAGAGAGAGAGAGAGAGAGAGAGAGAGAAAAGUAGGAGAGGAAGGGAAGAGACGACACCGGGAAGGAGAGGGGCGGCGCUUAUCUGA